rnacentral:rRNA from 1 species
CCUACGGGAGGCAGCAGUGAGGAAUAUUGGUCAAUGGACGAGAGUCUGAACCAGCCAAGUAGCGUGAAGGAUGACUGCCCUAUGGGUUGUAAACUUCUUUUAUAUGGGAAUAAAAUGUUCCACGUGUGGGAUUUUGUAUGUACCAUAUGAAUAAGGAUCGGCUAACUCCGUGCCAGCAGCCGCGGUAAUACGGAGGAUCCGAGCGUUAUCCGGAUUUAUUGGGUUUAAAGGGUGCGUAGGUGGAUUGUUAAGUCAGUUGUGAAAGUUUGCGGCUCAACCGUAAAAUUGCAGUUGAAACUGGCAGUCUUGAGUACAGUAGAGGUGGGCGGAAUGCGUGGUGUAGCGGUGAAAUGCAUAGAUAUCACGAAGAACUCCGAUUGCGAAGGCAGUUCACUGGACUGCAACUGACGCUGAGGCACGAAAGUGUGGGUAUCAAACAGGAUUAGAUACCCGAGUAGUC